ACACUAAAUAAAUAAAUCUUUCUUCUGUUUUACAAGUUUAGUACAGCUGUGCCUUCUUAGCACCUCAGUGUGGUAGGGCAAGGCCUUCUGCAGCCUGCUGAGUUUUUCUUUGAAGAGUCCUCAAGCCAGCUUUACUCAAAUCCUGGCUUACCAACCUCCUACUCACCCCUAUAAAAACGCACAGGGGAAAACCAUUUAAGUUGCACCAUUGGUAAAAAGCAGAAUUGAAAUAGGCUCAGAAGAGGAAACAGGGAGCCUGUCAGCAGCUGGGAAAAAGAAACCUAAGGGAGACCAGACCUGAACAGAAGCAGGAACAGCUAGAAAGUUCAGCCACUGCCUUGUAGCCUUUGAAAAAGGCCCAGAGCUGGCUUCAGAGCACCCGGGGUAUCCCCCCCCUCAAUGCCCACCUGAAGCCUGUCCUGGCUGGAUUUGGGUUUCCUGGUAUCUGGAGUUUCUCCAAAGCCAGCUCAGACCAGAGCUGUGCUGAAAAUACACAGCAAAAUUGAAGACACACUGCUCUCCUGGCUGUAUUCCACCUGCAUGACCCUGGCACCUGAAAACUGCUUCUUACAUUCAGCAAAAUGCACGUGCUGGGCCCAAGAGGACCUGGUGGCUAUUUGCAGAGAGAAAUCUGUCCCAUCCAGAUAUUGGUAGCCUGGCCCUGCUGCUCACCUCCCACUGCCCUGUGACCUUGGGAGCCUUGGAUCUCCACCUAGGAUGAACUCCAAUUCCAGAUUGAAGCCAUCCAUAGCAGGGGAUACGGAAAGGGAGACUGUAAAACCACCAGCAAUCUAGGCAGCAAAAACCUUGUAUUCCUCUGCCUGAGUGCCCCUCGGGCCAGGUUAUGGAGGAAGGUCCCUGCUCACCCAAGCCUGGAGGCUCUACACCCAGCAGGGCACCUGCUGUAGUUCAGAAAAAGGGAUUUGGCUUCAGUCUUCAGAAUGCAUGGAAGCUGCAAAGAAGAGUGAGUUUAAAUCACAGCAGAAUCAGUCCAGUCUCUGCCAAACCCAGAUUAUAAUUCAGGAGCCUGAACCACAGCAGGAGAAACUAAGUAAUUCUCCUGGUGUAGACACUGAACCUCCCACCAGCCCUGCUCCUGUAAGUGUUGGAAGACUCAUCCCAGAUUCGACAUUUAUUUCCAGAAGAGACCUUUAACUUGAAAGGCUGAUUUUAUGACAAAUUCCGCCUUUCUGAAAAGGAUCAACUUCUCAUUUCGAUCAUGAAGGUCAGCAUCGAUAGUGUCCCAGGAGACAGCAGCAACAGGGUAAAGCAAAUGUCUUGAGGCAAGAUCCUGCAUCCGGGAGCAGGGACCAGCUUCUCUUCAGAAAGGAGCUGUGCACCUGAAAAAUGGAGCCUGAAAACAGAUUUUUCAGGGACAUUAAUGACCUCACAUGGAGAAUUUGAAUUCUCAUGGCAAUGUCUUCCACUCAGGCAGAGGUCAAAGAAGCUUUGAGGAAGCAAGGAGGUUGAGAGCAGAGUUGCACCAGGCCGUUCAGAAAGCACAUCUUGAAGAGAUCUCCUGGCUCUAGAGGAAGUAAGGCAUGGAACCAGAGAUAACCUGGGAACUUGGGAACUUGCUGGUGUUUCAGUCCUCAGAGAGCUGAAGGAAAUAUCUGGGUACCCAGAUGUGGUGGUGGACCCACUGGACUUCCCAAUGCAUGCACCCUGAUUGCAAUUGAUAGCAUAUCAACAUGGAAUCUUCGUAAUUUUUAAUAAAUAUAUUGGCUCAUUUA
rnacentral:sRNA from 1 species